rnacentral:rRNA from 1 species
UACGAAGGGGGCUAGCGUUGCUCGGAAUCACUGGGCGUAAAGGGUGCGUAGGCGGGUCUUUAAGUCAGGGGUGAAAUCCUGGAGCUCAACUCCAGAACUGCCUUUGAUACUGAAGAUCUUGAGUUCGGGGAGAGGUGAGUGGAACUGCGAGUGUAGAGGUGAAAUUCGUAGAUAUUCGCAAGAACACCAGUGGCGAAGGCGGCUCACUGGCCCGAUACUGACGCUGAGGCACGAAAGCGUGGGGAGCAAACAGG